GACGAACGCUGGCGGCGUGCUUAACACAUGCAAGUCGAACGGUAAGGCCCUUCGGGGUACACGAGUGGCGAACGGGUGAGUAACACGUGGGUGAUCUGCCCUGCACUUCGGGAUAAGCCUGGGAAACUGGGUCUAAUACCGGAUAGGACCACUGCCUGCAUGGGUGGUGGUGGAAAGCUUUUGCGGUGUGGGAUGGGCCCGCGGCCUAUCAGCUUGUUGGUGGGGUGAUGGCCUACCAAGGCGACGACGGGUAGCCGGCCUGAGAGGGUGACCGGCCACACUGGGACUGAGAUACGGCACAGACUCCUGCGGGAGGCAGCAGUGGGGAAUAUUGCACAAUGGGCGCAAGCCUGAUGCAGCGACGCCGCGUGAGGGAUGACGGCCUUCGGGUUGUAAACCUCUUUCAGCACCGACGAAGCGCAAGUGACGGUAGGUGCAGAAGAAGGACCGGCCAACUACGUGCCAGCAGCCGCCGUAA
rnacentral:rRNA from 1 species